AUGGAAGCCCGCUGGGUUGGGUAAUUAGCUGUUAACUAAGAUUUUGCAGGAUCGAGGCCUGCCUGUCCAG
rnacentral:tRNA from 1 species